AACGAACGCUGGCGGCAGGCUUAACACAUGCAAGUCGAACGCAUCCUUCGGGGUGAGUGGCAGACGGGUGAGUAACGCGUGGGAACGUGCCCUUCAGUUCGGGAUGACCCAGGGAAACUUGGGCUAAUACCGGAUACGUGCGAGAGCAGAAAGAUUUAUCGCUGAAGGAUCGGCCCGCGUCUGAUUAGCUAGUUGGUGGGGUAAUGGCCCACCAAGGCGACGAUCAGUAGUUGGUCUGAGAGGAUGAUCAGCCACAUUGGGACUGAGACACGGCCCAAACUCCUACGGGAGGCAGCAGUGGGGGAUAUUGGACAAGGGGCGCAAGCCUGAUCCAGCCAUGCCGCGGGAGUGAUGAAGGCCUUAGGGUUGUAAAGCUCUUUCGUCCGGGACGAUAAUGACGGUACCGGAAGAAGAAGCCCCGGCUAACUUCGUGCCAGCAGCCGCAGUAA
rnacentral:rRNA from 1 species